UACAGAGGUCUCAAGCGUUUGUUCGGAUUCAUUGGGCGUAAAGGGUGCGUAGGCGGCGCGGUAAGUCGGGUGUGAAAUCUUGGAGCUUAACUCCGAAACUGCAUUCGAUACUGCCGUGCUUGAGGACUGGAGAGGAGACUGGAAUUUACGGUGUAGCGGUGAAAUGCGUAGAUAUCGUAAGGAAGACCAGUGGCGAAGGCGGGUCUCUGGACAGUUCCGUGA
rnacentral:rRNA from 1 species